AUUAGUGGCGAACGGGUGAGUAACACGUGAGUAACCUGCCCUUGACUCUGGGAUAAGCCUGGGAAACUGGGUCUAAUACCGGAUACGACCAUCUGACGCAUGUCAUGGUGGUGGAAAGCUUUUGUGGUUUUGGAUGGACUCGCGGCCUAUCAGCUUGUUGGUGGGGUAAUGGCCUACCAAGGCGACGACGGGUAGCCGGCCUGAGAGGGUGACCGGCCACACUGGGACUGAGACACGGCCCAGACUCCUACGGGAGGCAGCAGUGGGGAAUAUUGCACAAUGGGCGCAAGCCUGAUGCAGCGACGCCGCGUGAGGGAUGACGGCCUUCGGGUUGUAAACCUCUUUCAGUAGGGAAGAAGCGAAAGUGACGGUACCUGCAGAAGAAGCGCCGGCUAACUACGUGCCAGCAGCCGCGGUAAUACGUAGGGCGCAAGCGUUAUCCGGAAUUAUUGGGCGUAAAGAGCUCGUAGGCGGUUUGUCGCGUCUGCUGUGAAAGACCGGGGCUCAACUCCGGUUCUGCAGUGGGUACGGGCAGACUAGAGUGCAGUAGGGGAGACUGGAAUUCCUGGUGUAGCGGUGAAAUGCGCAGAUAUCAGGAGGAACACCGAUGGCGAAGGCAGGUCUCUGGGCUGUAACUGACGCUGAGGAGCGAAAGCAUGGGGAGCGAACAGGAUUAGAUACCCUGGUAGUCCAUGCCGUAAACGUUGGGCACUAGGUGUGGGGGACAUUCCACGUUUUCCGCGCCGUAGCUAACGCAUUAAGUGCCCCGCCUGGGGAGUACGGCCGCAAGGCUAAAACUCAAAGGAAUUGACGGGGGCCCGCACAAGCGGCGGAGCAUGCGGAUUAAUUCGAUGCAACGCGAAGAACCUUACCAAGGCUUGACAUGAACCGGAAAGACCUGGAAACAGGUGCCCCGCUUGCGGUCGGUUUACAGGUGGUGCAUGGUUGUCGUCAGCUCGUGUCGUGAGAUGUUGGGUUAAGUCCCGCAACGAGCGCAACCCUCGUUCUAUGUUGCCAGCGCGUUAUGGCGGGGACUCAUAGGAGACUGCCGGGGUCAACUCGGAGGAAGGUGGGGACGACGUCAAAUCAUCAUGCCCCUUAUGUCUUGGGCUUCACGCAUGCUACAAUGGCCGGUACAAAGGGUUGCGAUACUGUGAGGUGGAGCUAAUCCCAAAAAGCCGGUCUCAGUUCGGAUUGGGGUCUGCAACUCGACCCCAUGAAGUCGGAGUCGCUAGUAAUCGCAGAUCAGCAACGCUGCGGUGAAUACGUUCCCGGGCCUUGUACACACCGCCCGUCAAGUCACGAAAGUUGGUAA
rnacentral:rRNA from 1 species